GACGAACGCUGGCGGCGUGCUUAACACAUGCAAGUCGAACGGUAAGGCCCUUCGGUGUAUUCUAGUGGCGAACGGGUGAGUAACACGUUGGUGAUUUGCUCUGCACUUUUGUAUAAGCCUGUGAAACUGGGUCUCAUACCCUAUUGGCCCACGCGCUUCGUGGUGUGUGGUGGAUUGCUUUUGCGGGGUGGUUUGUGCGCUCGGUCUAUCACCUUGUUUGUGUGGUAAUGUCGUUCCAUGGAGACGUCGGCUAGCCGGCCUGAGAGGGUGACCGGGCACAGAGGGACUGAGAAACGGGCCAGACUGCAACGGGAGGCAGAAGUGGGAAAUAGUGCACAAUGGGCGGAAGGCUGAUGGAGGGACGCCGCGUGGGGGAUGACGGUCUUCGGGUAGGAAACCGCUUUAAAUAGGGACGAAGAGAAAGUGACGGUACCUAAAGAAGAAGCACCGGCCAACUACGUG
rnacentral:rRNA from 1 species